GAGGAGGAGGGAUACAGGCAAAUCCGUAUCCCAAUCCAAUGGUGUUACGCGGAGCGAACAAAAGUAGCGAAGCACACAGACCAUCUGUCGAGAAAAGCCGCUAUUGUGUAUACCGUACCCGUACCGUAAACCGACACAGGUGGAUGAGGAGAGAAUCCUAAGGCCGGCGGGAGAAGCAUUGUUAAGGAACUCGGCAAAAUGACCCCGUAACUUCGGGAGAGGGGGUGCUCACGCAAGUGAGCCGCAGAGAACUGGCCCAAGCAACUGUUUAGCAAAAACACAGGUCUAUGCAAAACCGAAAGGUGAGGUAUAUGGGCUGACGCCUGCCCGGUGCUGGAAGGUUAAGAGGAGAUGUUAGAGCAAUCGAAGCAUUGAAUUUAAGCCCCAGUAAACGGCGGCCGUAACGAUAACGGUCCUAAGGUAGCGAAAUUCCUUGUCGGGUAAGUUCCGACCCGCACGAAAGGCGUAAUGAUUUGGGCACUGUCUCGACAAUGCACCCGGUGAAAUUGAAAUACCAGUGAAGAUGCUGGUUACCUGCGCCAGGACGGAAAGACCCCAUGGAGCUUUACUCUAGCUUGAUACUGGGAUUCGGUAUUGCAUGUACGGGAUAGGUGGGAGACUAAGAGGUGAUGACGCCAGUUGUCACGGAGUCGAUGUUGGGAUACCACCCCUGCAGUACUGGGUUUCUAACCUGCGGCCGUGACCCGGCCGGGGGACAAUGUCUGGUGGGGAGUUUGACUGGGGCGGUCGCCUCCGAAAGGGUAUCGGAGGCGCUCAAAGGUUCCCUCAGAAUGGUUGGAAACCAUUCGAAGAGUGCAAAGGCAGAAGGGAGCUUGACUGCGACACCGACGGGUGGAGCAGGUACGAAAGUAGGACUUAGUGAUCCGGUGGUAUGAAAGUGGGAUUGCCAUCGCUCAACGGAUAAAAGCUACCCUGGGAUAACAGGCUUAUCACUCCCAAGAGUUCACAUCGACGGAGUGGUUUGGCACCUCGAUGUCGGCUCAUCGCAUCCUGGGGCUGUAGUAGGUCCCAAGGGUUGGGCUGUUCGCCCAUUAAAGCGGUACGCGAGCUGGGUUCAGAACGUCGUGAGACAGUUCGGUCCCUAUCCGGCGUGGGCGUAGGAUAUCUGAGAGGAGCUGUCCUUAGUACGAGAGGACCGGGAUGGACUGACCUCUGGUGCAUCGGUUGAGCCACCAGGCUCAUGGCCGAGUAGCCAAGUCGGGACGGGAUAAACGCUGAAGGCAUCUAAGCGUGAAGCCCCCCUCAAGAUGAGAUAUCCCAUAGAGUAAUCUAGUAAGACCCCUUGAAGACGACGAGGUAGAUAGGCAGAAGGUGGAAGUGUGGUGACAUAUGGAGCUGAUCUGUACUAAUAGGUCGAGGGCUUAACU
rnacentral:rRNA from 1 species